GGGGAAUUUUCCGCAAUGGGCGAAAGCCUGACGGAGCAAUACCGCGUGAGGGAGGAAGGCUCUUGGGUCGUAAACCUCUUUUCUCAGGGAAGAACACAAUGACGGUACCCGAGGAAUAAGCAUCGGCUAACUCCGUGCCAGCAGCCGCGGUAAUACGGAGGAUGCAAGCGUUAUCCGGAAUGAUUGGGCGUAAAGCGUCCGCAGGUGGCUGUGUGUGUCUGCUGUUAAAGAGUGAGGCUCAACCUCAUAAGAGCAGUGGAAACUACACGGCUAGAGUGCGUUCGGGGCAGAGGGAAUUCCUGGUGUAGCGGUGAAAUGCGUAGAGAUCAGGAAGAACACCGGUGGCGAAAGCGCUCUGCUAGGCCGCAACUGACACUGAGGGACGAAAGCUAGGGGAGCGAAUGGGAUUAGAUACCCCAGUAGUCCUAGCCGUAAACGAUGGAUACUAGGCGUGGCUUGUAUCGACCCGAGCCGUGCCGUAGCUAACGCGUUAAGUAUCCCGCCUGGGGAGUACGCACGCAAGUGUGGAACUCAAAGGAAUUGACGGGGGCCCGCACAAGCGGUGGAGUAUGUGGUUUAAUUCGAUGCAACGCGAAGAACCUUACCAAGACUUGACAUGUCGCGAAUCUUCUUGAAAGGGAAGAGUGCCUUCGGGAGCGCGAACACAGGUGGUGCAUGGCUGUCGUCAGCUCGUGUCGUGAGAUGUUGGGUUAAGUCCCGCAACGAGCGCAACCCUCGUUUUUAGUUGCCAGCAUUAAGUUGGGCACUCUAGAGAGACUGCCGGUGACAAACCGGAGGAAGGUGGGGAUGACGUCAAGUCAGCAUGCCCCUUACGUCUUGGGCUACACACGUACUACAAUGCUACGGACAGAGGGCAGCAAGACAGCGAUGUCAAGCAAAUCCCGUAAGCCGUGGCUCAGUUCAGAUCGCAGGCUGCAACUCGCCUGCGUGAAGGAGGAAUCGCUAGUAAUUGCAGGUCAGCAUACUGCAGUGAAUUCGUUCCCGGGCCUUGUACACACCGCCCGUCACACCAUGGAAGCUGGUCACGCCCGAAGUCAUUACCCCAACGAUUCGUCGAGGGGGAUGCCUAAGGCAGGACUGGUGACUGGGGUGAAGUCGUAACAAGGUAGCCGUACCGGAAGGUGUGGCUGGAUCACCUCCUUUAAGGGAGACCAACACCCCUCAAAUAUCGAAAGCAAAGUGCAAAUAGAUAUAAGAGAAGGUCAAACCAAGGUCGGUCGCAGAGAUUUGCUCAAAGCUUUCAAACUAUGAUUUGGUUCGAGAUAUGGGCUAUUAGCUCAGGUGGUUAGAGCGCACCCCUGAUAAGGGUGAGGUCCCUGGUUCGAGUCCAGGAUGGCCCACCUGAAACCAGUGAGCAGUAAACAGUAAACAGUGAUCAGAAAAAACUGAUAAAUGUGAACUGAAGACUGAUAACUGAGUGAUGGGGGUUUAGCUCAGUUGGUAGAGCGCCUGCUUUGCAAGCAGGAUGUCAGCGGUUCGAGUCCGCUAACCUCCACCUGUGGUAAGAAACCAGAGCAAUCAAAACAAGUCAAAUUCAGCAACAUGGUAAUAGCCAGACUGCUGGAUAAGAUACCAGCCAGAACCUUGAAAACUGCAUAAGUAACGCGAAAUUGUAGGUAGUCAGAAGUCAUUUGUAAAAACAAAGGACAAUUGACUUGAUACAGACACCAAAUGUUUGAGUGGUCAAGCUAAUAAGGGCUAACGGUGGAUACCUAGGCACACAGAG
rnacentral:misc_RNA from 1 species